CCAGCAGUUCGGCUGGGCACUCUAAAGGGACUGCCGGUGUUAAACCGGAGGAAGGUGGGGAUGACGUCAAGUCCUCAUGGCCUUUAUGACCAGGGCUACACACGUACUACAAUGGCCGAUACAAAGGGCAGCGACACUGCGAGGUGAAGCCAAUCCCGUAAAAUCGGUCUCAGUCCGGAUUGGAGUCUGCAGCUCGACUCCAUGAAGUUGGAAUCGCUAGUAAUCGUGGAUCAGCAUGCCACGGUGAAUACGUUCCCGGGCCUU
rnacentral:rRNA from 1 species